CAAAAUUGUCUUUCAUACUUUCAAUGUCGGAAGUUGUACCAAGCAUUUUGCUUAAAUGUCUUUUAUGUCUAUCAUAUUGGUUUUUUCGAAACUACACCAACUGGGGAUGCAGUGGUGCUAUGCAUAAUGUUCGAGCAGGUUAAGAAUCACAUGUUUAUGGUAUGAUUAAGCUUUUCUCAAUGCUAUUGUUGGCUUACAAAUAUAUGUGUUAUCAUUGCCUUGAAUAUAAAAUGUGAUGUGUACCAUGUCACAGUUAAAAUUUUUGCCUUCCACUUCGCACAGAAACCAAUUCUACUAACGUUCACUAACUUGUAGCUAAAAGAAUUCCCAAUAUUGUUGAGAUCAUUUGAAAUGUGUAGGUGAUGUCAAGUUUGCUAUGUUUCUAUUGUGUUUGUGGGCUGCUAAAGGAACAUUUUAUUUCUCGAUAGAACAUGCAAGGUUAUUUGGUAUUUGUUUUCAGUCUGCAGCUUCCCACUUAUCCAUCAUCUAUCAGUCUUUCUGGUUGACGAUAGUUAACAUAUUUUUAAAUUUUCUUCCAACUGUACCACGAAGUUCAUGGCACAUUCUAGAUCUCUCUUGGACCAAUGAAGUAAAAGUGUGUUAAUGUCAAUGAGGGAAAAAAUAAUCUAGAAUUUCAAUGAUGGGUCCUAAGGACACUUAAUAAUUCCACGCUCUCGUGGAAGUUUCUUACUUUUCACACCCCUAAUUAAAUGAUAACAAUUAUAGGAUUAACAAAAACCAAUUCAUCUAAAAAUCCAUUUCUGUACUGCUACGAAUAUGCAAGUAAAGGGUUUAUACUACAUUGAAUGAACAGUAGCUAAUGAUAAAGACAGAAAUAGGGUAUUUCCAGCUUGUUCAGUGCCUAGAAUAUAUUGUCACAAUUGCAAAAUUUAAACAUGCAUAUGUUCACUGGUGCAUUGAAUACAGUAGUGCUUGGACCAUCCCCAUCGCAGGUGAGCUUGCUUAAAUAUUCAUGGCUUGUUUGUUAUUGUUCAGUGCCAUAUAAAUACUUGAUGCACAUUUAUAUUUGAUUUUCCCCAGGACAUGACAUCCACACUUACAAGUUCUACAGUUGUUGCAAAUGUGCUACUUAAUGUCUACCAUGUCGUUGGAGGAAUAAUGACCAUGUCGUUGGAGGAAUAAUGCUUGUCAAGGUAACCCAUUUCGUACAUUACAGAGUACAUAGCUGGUUGGCUAUGUAAUGACCGCUAGGUGGUCCAGGUGGUUUAGUUUUUUGUCCAAUUACACCUUUCACAUUUACCCAUUAAUUCAAAAGAAAUGUGCCAUAGCCAUUAUGUAUGGCACAUUAUUGCAAUCAAACUUUCGUGCAAGGUUAGAAUCACAUGCAAUUCAAAGAUAUGUUUCAUCUUGUUUGUAAUACAUUUAGAUAUUUACAAUAUAAAUCUACCAUACGCUUAGGAUCACAUGCAAUUGCAGGCUAUCAUUGUUCUGUUCAUAAUUUAUGGCACAUUUAGGCAAUCGAACUUUCGUAUAAGCUUAGGAUCACAUGCAAUUCAAAGAUUUGAUUCGUCCCAUUUGUAAUGUCUUCUGAUUUAUGCAAUCUAAAUUUAACGUACGCUUUGGAUCACAUGCAAUUGAAAGAUAUGAUUGUUCGUGUUCGUAAUUUAUGGCAGAUUUAGGCAAUCGAAAUUUCGUAUAAGCUUAGGAUCACAUACAAUUCAAAGAUAUGAUUCUUCCUAUUUGUAAUGUAUUACGAUGUUUGCAUUCUAAAUUUACCAUAUGCUUGGAAUCACAUGCAGUUGAAAGAUAGGAUUUUUCGUGUUCUUAAUUUAUGGUAAUAGAUAUGCGGUUUUCGAACUUUUGUAUAAGCUUGGGAUCACAUGUCGUUCACAUAUACAAUUUACGAGUCAACUGCAUGUAACUAGUGGGUAUAUUCGGGCCCAAGUGCGUCACAUUAUGCACUUGAAAAUGAUAAUGUGUCAUUUUCCAUAACUUUUGGCAUAUUUCUAAUUGAAGGCAUUUAUUUGAACAUAGGUUGUAGAGAUAGGAGCUCGUUCAGACGAAGGUCGGCAAGUCGAAUGUCAUAUUUUAUGCACGUGCAUGAGAUGCAGCGCACACUGACAAAGCGUGGAAUUUUAUAUUUUUCCUUGCUGUGUAAAAUUUUUUCCCAGUUCAAACAUUUGAUGUGACAUUUAUUCAAACUGGAUGUGUACGCAUAUUCGAAAUUUAU
rnacentral:lncRNA from 1 species